rnacentral:rRNA from 1 species
GAGUUUGAUCCUGGCUCAGAUUGAACGCUGGCGGCAUGCCUUACACAUGCAAGUCGAACGGCAGCAUGAUCUAGCUUGCUAGAUUGAUGGCGAGUGGCGAACGGGUGAGUAAUACAUCGGAACGUGCCCUGUAGUGGGGGAUAACUAGUCGAAAGAUUAGCUAAUACCGCAUACGACCUGAGGGUGAAAGUGGGGGACCGCAAGGCCUCAUGCUAUAGGAGCGGCCGAUGUCUGAUUAGCUAGUUGGUGGGGUAAAGGGCCCACCAAGGCGACGAUCAGUAGCUGGUCUGAGAGGACGAUCAGCCACACUGGGACUGAGACACGGCCCAGACUCCUACGGGAGGCAGCAGUGGGGAAUUUUGGACAAUGGGCGAAAGCCUGAUCCAGCAAUGCCGCGUGUGUGAGAAGGCUC